GCUGAAUAUCCAUGUCGUCAUUCAGCCACGAUUCCGUGAAACAUAGGAUAUUACAGUUUUUGAUGUCCCAUUGGUAGGAUAUUACCUCGUCUAGUUUAUUGUCCAAUGAUUGCACGUUGGCGAGUAAUAUUGACGGUAACGGCAGCUUUCCUAGUUGUCUUCUGCAGCUCCGGACGAGGCAUCCGGCUCUCCUUCCUCUGCGUCGCUUUCCUUUUGCGAAUAAUUGGGAUGUCUGCCCUGUGGGGUGUUUAGAGAAUAUCGUGUGAAUACUACUUGCUGCUGUUGUUGUUGUUGUUGAUGAAAUCUUUGUCUAAUCCGAGGGUAAGGCGAGUGGCUUGAAUCAACGUCCACAGUCCUGUAAUAGAUGGGUCCGAUUAGCAGCAUGUGUGUGUAUUACACGCAGAUCCAUGGUUGAGUGGUGUAACGCUGUGAUUUGGAAGGUCACAUGUGGGUAGAAGGGCUCCGGAUUCAGAGAAGACGAGCUCCUCAAAAACCCAUUACACAGAGAUCUGGACAGGGGGCAAGUGGGUAAGGACCCCCAAGAGGUUCCCCCAUACUCUCACUAAAGGGGAUUAAAGACAGUCAAGACACUGAUAAGGACGAAGGUUCUGGAAUUAAGCAACUCAACGCCUUGGUUGACUUAGCAUUCUGGCUACGUCCAGAAGCCUCAGUGCAUUGUGGGCCUAGCUGUCAGACCCAUCUGUCACCACCUCCUUCCACCCUCUCCACGGCACACGUACUCCACAGCCUGGCCAGGGACAGCCAUGCACAUUCCACAUGGGCGGUGCAGCUGUGGGGUCCCCUCGAUCCUCUCCAGAGUGACUUUCCCCUCCAAAGCUCCAGAGUGCUCUCCGUCUGUGCUCACCACUGCAUGACACGCCAAAUGGAGAGGAACAGAAUUUGGGGAGUGUGUUUGUUUGUGUGUGUGUGUGAGGGAGAGGGGUGUGUGUGUGUGUUCAUGCAUUCAUCCAUUAGUGCGUGCAUGCGUGCAUGUGUAUGUGUGUGUGAUGGCCCCAGCUGUUACCAUUAUCCAAUAUGCUGUACUGUAUCCCUGGCCAGAGGAACG